rnacentral:tRNA from 1 species
GUCAGGGUAGCUCAGCUGGUUAGAGCGAGGGAAUCAUAACCCCUAGGUCGUGGGUUCGAGUCCCACCCCUGACA